ACAUUAGAUACCCGGGUAGUCCCAGCCGUAAACUAUGCGCGUUAGGUGUAUCGGUGACCACGAGUUACCGAGGUGCCGAAGGGAAACCGUGAAACGUGCCGCCUGGGAAGUACGGUCGCAAGGCUGAAACUUAAAGGAAUUGGCGGGGAGCACCACAACGGGUGGAGCCUGCGGUUUAAUUGGACUCAACGCCGGGAAGCUCACCGGAUAAGACAGCGGAAUGAUUGCCGGGCUGAAGACUCUGCAUGACUAGCUG
rnacentral:rRNA from 1 species